UUGUGAGGUUAAGCGACUAAGCGUACACGGUGGAUGCCCUGGCAGUCAGAGGCGAUGAAGGACGUGCUAAUCUGCGAUAAGCGUCGGUGAGGUGAUAUGAACCGUUAUAACCGGCGAUUUCCGAAUGGGGAAACCCAGUGUGUUUCGACACACUAUCAUUAACUGAAUCCAUAGGUUAAUGAGGCGAACCGGGGGAACUGAAACAUCUAAGUACCCCGAGGAAAAGAAAUCAACCGAGAUUCCCCCAGUAGCGGCGAGCGAACGGGGAGGAGCCCAGAGCCUGAAUCAGUGUGUGUGUUAGUGGAAGCGUCUGGAAAGGCGCGCGAUACAGGGUGACAGCCCCGUACACAAAAAUGCACAUAUUGUGAGCUCGAUGAGUAGGGCGGGACACGUGGUAUCCUGUCUGAAUAUGGGGGGACCAUCCUCCAAGGCUAAAUACUCCUGACUGACCGAUAGUGAACCAGUACCGUGAGGGAAAGGCGAAAAGAACCCCGGCGAGGGGAGUGAAAAAGAACCUGAAACCGUGUACGUACAAGCAGUGGGAGCCUCUUAAUGGGGUGACUGCGUACCUUUUGUAUAAUGGGUCAGCGACUUAUAUUCUGUAGCAAGGUUAACCGAAUAGGGGAGCCGAAGGGAAACCGAGUCUUAACUGGGCGUUAAGUUGCAGGGUAUAGACCCGAAACCCGGUGAUCUAGCCAUGGGCAGGUUGAAGGUUGGGUAACACUAACUGGAGGACCGAACCGACUAAUGUUGAAAAAUUAGCGGAUGACUUGUGGCUGGGGGUGAAAGGCCAAUCAAACCGGGAGAUAGCUGGUUCUCCCCGAAAGCUAUUUAGGUAGCGCCUCGUGAAUUCAUCUCCGGGGGUAGAGCACUGUUUCGGCAAGGGGGUCAUCCCGACUUACCAACCCGAUGCAAACUGCGAAUACCGGAGAAUGUUAUCACGGGAGACACACGGCGGGUGCUAACGUCCGUCGUGAAGAGGGAAACAACCCAGACCGCCAGCUAAGGUCCCAAAGUCAUGGUUAAGUGGGAAACGAUGUGGGAAGGCCCAGACAGCCAGGAUGUUGGCUUAGAAGCAGCCAUCAUUUAAAGAAAGCGUAAUAGCUCACUGGUCGAGUCGGCCUGCGCGGAAGAUGUAACGGGGCUAAACCAUGCACCGAAGCUGCGGCAGCGACGCUUAUGCGUUGUUGGGUA
rnacentral:rRNA from 1 species